AAAGAUAAGUAAAUCUCUCAAAGAUAAUAAAUAAUAAAUAAAAGAUAAUAAAUGUCCUGUUUCUGAAGGUCUUUGUUUCACACGAGCAAGUGGAAACAUGGGGCCUGUGACAUCUUUUGCUCCUUCUGAGUGGCCUCGGCAGUUGGGGGCUCCUCGUCGUGAGCAAUAAAAACUCCAGUAACUGAGCUGCCGCGACCUGAGCAGUAGGCCUGCAAGAGGAAGGAUGUACCCGCAGAAGACCACAGAAGGACAAGCCUGAACUCAGCUUCAGACCCCUGCCCAGUGCUCUGCACCGUCCCCACUCUAUAAUUACUCUUCUCAGAGCACUGUGGUUGAAACAUCCGAGUGCAGUCUGGUCCAAGCCCAGUUCCUCUCUGCCUGCUCAUCCAAGAAGUCUGUGCCCAAUUCCUGCUUCUUCAUCCUAGAACACUCUGCUUCCAGCACCUACAGACUGAGCUACAGAAGCAACUGCUGUCAUCUGGUUUCACAGUUUCUUUCUUUCUCUGUUUUUUAAAGAGUUUUGCACACAUAGACUUCAAU
rnacentral:lncRNA from 1 species